AACUUGCUUCUUGGUCUUGAUGUUUGUGCAGGAAUAGGUAUCUGACUAAGAGAGUGACCUCUAUGUUAAUGUCAGGUCCAUCUCAACUAUAUGGGAGUGUCAGGGCUGGAAACUUGUCAGGCAGGUCUGAAAACUGCUGGUGACCCUUAGUCCUUGCCUCAGACUAACUUCUUCGGCCUGGAAUUGCCCAGUUCAUGGAAACAGAUAUUUAGGCCUAGUCUCCUUAACUGCCAAGUUGAAGCCUGUUGUGGAAUCAGCCUACCUUUCUCAACAGUGAUAUCAGGGAACAUAUAGGCAUUGAUAAUAAGUAACUAUGAAGGAAGUAAAUAUAGGACAAGAUCUAGAACAUUUCAUUGCUUAACAAUUUCCACGUUCUAAUCAGACUGUGAUCUUUAACUCAGAUGUGGCUUAUGCUCUACAGUGGCUCCUGUUGCGCUGAGACAGAGCAGAAACAGAUGCCGAUUAAGGUCCUUGCAGGAAGAAGAGAGGAACCUGGUAGCUAGUUUGGUCCAAGCAAGGUGCUUUCCCUGUGCUCUGCUGGAGGCAUAAACUCCGUGAACUGAAAAUAGCCAAGAAAACAACUAUAAUUUCCUCCUUGCUUCCUACAAAGGAUUGAACAAAAAUGCUCAGGCCCUCCCGGGCGAUCAUAAAGAAGUUUAAAAUUUCAAAUAUUAUUAAAUACGACAGAAGAUGGUACUGGGUCUUCUGGAAAUGGAAUGGUUUUGAGCCACCUGAUUUGUAUGCUAGGAACUGAACUCCGGUCCUCUGUAAAAUCAGCAAGAACUCUCAACUCCUGAGCUGCUUCUUGCUGUUUUAAUGGUGAUUCAAACAUUGAAGAGGAAAGUUUCUGAGCAGCGGUCCACAGAACUUUCUCAAACUGAGCAGAACUUUGGAGUAGAAGGUUUUGGUAGGAAGGCAUCAUCCCAAAAUGUCAUCAGAAUUGGAGGAACUCAAAUUUGAAAUCCAGAAGUGUAAAUUCGAGAGGCAUGAACUUUAUCAAAUCCUGGACCUUUAUAUCUAUGAUGAUUGGGACUACAGGCUGGAUGUUUAAUUGCCAAUACUUCAAUCUGAACAUGCGAUGAGAAUGACGGCUAUGCAAAUGAUAACCAACUCAAUAAGUGAUGCCAUGGAGAGGUACAAGGAGCUCAUAUGAGUGAACAGUUUCUACCGCAUCAGGCACUCCCAGCUCCUGUGUGAACAAACUCAAUUGAAGAACCAUAUACAGAUUUUGCUGAAUGAGAACAGAGAACUGCUGGUGGAGCAGUCUGAACUGCCAGCAUCCUAUUUGGAGGCAAAGGGGUUCUGUGAAGAGUCCAGAAUGAACAUCUGUGUCCCCAGUGCCAAGCAACAGUAGGCUUUCGCCCGAUUCUCGGUACCGUGUCGGUGCUGGCGCCGACAGCUCUGCUCUCCAGAGUCAGCAGAAAUGGCAUGCAUCAGCAACACUGAGCCAGGAGAUGGAGACAUUAAUUCAGUGUGCUAGCUAGCUGGUGGCUUUAGGGUAAGUCUCCAGUCAAAAACCUUAUGAGUAGGGCUCUGCAACAGGACCAGCUUGGGAGCCACUUGUUAAAGCAGAGAAGCCUACUGGAGGAAGGAACCAUGUCACCAGUGCUUCAUGGAUCCCUUUCCUCCACAACAGAAAGACA
rnacentral:sRNA from 1 species